AGGUGUCUGAGUAUAUGGGGAUGAUUGUCAGACAUUCAAUGUCACAACGGUGAGAAAUGCAAAAGGGGAAAGAUUUUCCCCUUUAUAGAUGGCA
rfam:Pantoea ananatis LMG 20103, complete genome.